CCUACGGGAGGCAGCAGUAAGGAAUAUUGGUCAAUGGAGGGAACUCUGAACCAGCCAUGCCGCGUGCAGGAAGACGGCCCUACGGGUUGUAAACUGCUUUUGCACGGGAAUAACCCUCAUUAUGAAUAAUGAGCUGAAUGUACCGUGAGAAUAAGGAUCGGCUAACUCCGUGCCAGCAGCCGCGGUAAU
rnacentral:rRNA from 1 species